rnacentral:rRNA from 1 species
UUCCGGUUGAUCCUGCCGGAAGUCACUGCUAUCGGUGUCCGAUUAAGCCAUGCGAGUCGUGAGGGGUAAAGCCCUCGGCAUACUGCUCAGUAACACGUGGAUAAUCUACCCAAAGGUCUGGGAUAACCCCGGGAAACUGGGGAUAAUACCGGAUAGGCCAAUACGUCUGGAAUGUGUGUUGGCUGAAAGAGUGGUCGCCUUUGGAUGGGUCUGCGGCGGAUUAGGUAGACGCCGGUGUAACGUACCGGCGUGCCUGUAAUCCGUACGGGUUGUGGGAGCAAGAGCCCGGAGAUGGAUUCUGAGACACGAAUCCAGGCCCUACGGGGCGCAGCAGGCGCGAAAACUCUACAAUGCAGGCAACUGCGAUAGGGGGACAUCGAGUGGCACCCACCUUGGGUGUCUGUCCAACCGUCUAAAAAACGGUUGUUAGCAAGGGCCGGGUAAGACCGGUGCCAGCCGCCGCGGUAAUACCGGCGGCUCGAGUGGUGGCCGAUAUUAUUGAGUCUAAAGGGUCCGUAGCCGGCUUUGCAAGUCCUCUGGGAAAUCCAGCGGCUUAACCGUUGGGCUUCCAUGGGAAACUACAUUGCUUGGGACUGGGAGAGGUAGGAGGUACUCGAGGGGUAGGGGUGAAAUCCUGUAAUCCUUCGGGGACCACCGGUGGCGAAGGCGUCCUACCAGAACAGGUCCGACGGUGAGGGACGAAAGCUAGGGGCACGAACCGGAUUAGAUACCCCGGUAGUCCACGCUGUAAACGAUGCCCG